ACAUUUUAUUUUAAAUAAAAAGUCGAUUUUGUAAGUCGAAAUUGGGCUUGCCCAAGUG
rnacentral:tRNA from 1 species